rnacentral:rRNA from 1 species
GACGAACGCUGGCGGCGUGCUUAACACAUGCAAGUCGAACGGAAAGGCCUCUUUCGGGGGGUACUCGAGUGGCGAACGGGUGAGUAACACGUGAGCAACCUGCCCUUGACUUUGGGAUAACUUCAGGAAACUGGGGCUAAUACCGGAUAGGAGCUCCUGCUGCAUGGUGGGGGUUGGAAAGUUUCGGCGGUUGGGGAUGGACUCGCGGCUUAUCAGCUUGUUGGUGGGGUAGUGGCUUACCAAGGCUUUGACGGGUAGCCGGCCUGAGAGGGUGACCGGCCACAUUGGGACUGAGAUACGGCCCAGACUCCUACGGGAGGCAGCAGUGGGGAAUAUUGCACAAUGGGUGGAAGCCUGGUGCAGCAACGCCGUGUGCGGGAUGACGGCCUUCGGGUUGUAAACCGCUUUCGCUCAUGACGAAGCUUUGUGUGACGGUAGUGGGUAAAGAAGCACCGGCUAACUACGUG